rnacentral:rRNA from 1 species
GGAGGAAAGUAGGGGAUCGCAAGACCUCACGUUAUAGGAGCGGCCGAUGUCCGAUUAGCUAGUUGGUGGGGUAAAGGCCUACCAAGGCGACGAUCGGUAGCUGGUCUGAGAGGAUGAUCAGCCACACUGGGACUGAGACACGGCCCAGACUCCUACGGGAGGCAGCAGUGGGGAAUUUUGGACAAUGGGCGAAAGCCUGAUCCAGCCAUGCCGCGUGCGGGAAGAAGGCCUUCGGGUUGUAAACCGCUUUAGUCCGGGAAAAAGGGGUGCGAGGAUAAUACCCUUGUGCUUUGAUGGUACUGGAAGAAUAAGCACCGGCUAACUACGUGCCAGCAGCCGCGGUAAUACGUAGGGUGCGAGCGUUAAUCGGAAUUACUGGGCGUAAAGCGUGCGCAGGCGGUUGUGUAAGCCAGAUGUGAAAUCCCCGGGCUCAACCUGGGAAUGGCGUUUGAAACUACAAAGCUAG